rnacentral:lncRNA from 1 species
GCACACAGCCAGCACCCGUUGAGGUUUGCACAUGUUUGCACCCCACUCUUUCUGGCAGCCCAGGCGUCCCCUCUUUCUGAGCUGUAUUCUGUGGAGGUUGCUCUGCUGAGGAGCUGGGUGGUGGCGCAGUCAUUUUGCUGAUCUGAUGCUUCUCCCACACCCGUAAGUGGGAGUGGAGCAGGGCGUGUGGGUCCGGCUGCUGCCUCUGCCUCGGCACUUCAGAGACGGUCAUCUGCUCCUGUUCUUGCCAUUCGCGGGGUCUGCCUCCAGCAAGUUCUCCUUCAGCAUUCUGAGUGUACCACGGGACAGCUAGGUUGGUCUUGCACUCCUGAGUUCAAGCGGUCCACCCGUCUUGGCCUUCCAUGUGCUGGGAUUACAGGCGUGAGCCACCUCGCUCGGCCUGGAUACACCAGGUUCGCCCAGCCACCUCGCUCG